rnacentral:snRNA from 1 species
GCCUACGGGCAUUUGGUCAAUUUGAAACGAUACAGAGAAGAUUAGCAUGGCCCCUGCACUAAGGAUGACACGCUCAAUCAAAGAGAAGCUACCAAUUUAA